ACCGAACACCUGUUUUGUGUUAUAUAUACAUACACCACAUCUUCCUAUGUCUAUAUAGCUGAUUUACCGUAAAUAACUGCGAGAAAAUUAAUAAAACACAAGUUGAUAAUUGUCUCUUCUCUGCUAAUUUUAAUGUGCAUGCAAUAUUCACUCUGAUUUACUUGUGAGACCACCGACACUAAUAAUAAUUACCUACAAAAUAAUAGGUGCUCCUUCACUGGGAAGGGCAUUUCGGAUCUGAUCAAUUUAUUGGUUCCAUUCCCCAUUCUACACUUCUCCUCAGAAAAAAUGCCUUGCAAUGCGUCAUAUUUAUCUGGACUACUAACUUACUUCCAUAUAACUUCGAAAACAGACAAUAAUCUAUUUCAUUGGAUGAGAUUGGGCUCACGGAUUUUUUAAUGGAUUGGACAAGAAAUAUAGAAAAAUAAUGAAAAAUAUAAACAGUUACAAUAGAAAUGAGGGGAAAACAAGAUAAACAGAAUACAACAAGGCCUAAAUGGUCAGAUAUCUUGGUUUUUAUGAUCAUCAACAGGUCCUGCAGGUCUAUACUGAAGAGGAAUUUUAAUUGUUAAUACUUUUCUACAUAAUGUGCUAAUUGGAUUACUAAUGUGAAAUGAACUCAACUGUGUGUUUUUCUGGAAAAAGAAAUAGAAAAAAAUCCUACAAAAUUGCUAUAAACAAAAUGGAGUACUAUCAAAGAACACAAUUGUGUAAAAUGUAACAACCUACAUUCAUAUUCACUGAUGGAUUAUGGAGAAAUUAAGAAAAAUAAUAGUGUCUUUGUCAUGUUUGUUGUCGAAAUAAACACCUGCUUUAUCCAUUCAUGUACAUGGCUCCAUCAUAUCAAAUAUACAAAGAAGAUGUUUGAAGAACAUGAUGCAAAAAAUUUAUUCAACAAAUUGAAGGAAGAUGUCUUGUGGAUUGAAUUAUUUAUGCACUGAACUGUUAUGUAGGGGGUUGAAUACACAGCAGCUGUAACAGAAGACAAGUGAAUUUGACAUGAAAAGUGUUUAUUUUAUUUAAUAUUCAAAUAUGAGCACAAUAUUAAUAACAUCACAAAUGGUAUGCUAUUCAUAGCGUUUUGCUUAUUAUUGUAUGGUCUUAAACAUGCUAAACAUUCAGCCUUUUGUUUUUGUAUGUUAAAUACUCACCAUGAAAAUUUGUAUUACAGUAUUAAAGUUUUAAUUAUC